GAGGGUAUAGCUCAGUGGGAGAGCAUAUGCCCAGCAUGCAUGAGGUCCUGGGUUCAAUCCCCAUUAGCUCCA
rnacentral:tRNA from 1 species